rnacentral:lncRNA from 1 species
UGAUGAGCAAAGAGAUUAACUCCUCCAUCAUUUGGUUCUGCAUAACCGCUUUCAACAAGUUCCCACAAAUCAUGAGACAAGAAGAAAGUUCUCAUUUUAAUCUUCCAAAACUCAUAACUUGCACCUUUAAAGAUAGGAAUCAAAAACUGAGUAACACUUAAACUGCUACCAUUAGCUGCUGCCAUGAUGAUUUCUCAGAGAACUUUCGUCAAACAGUUCAAGGGCACA